rnacentral:rRNA from 1 species
CCUACGGGAGGCAGCAGUGGGGAAUAUUGGACAAUGGGGGAAACCCUGAUCCAGCGACGCCGCGUGAGUGAAGAAGUAUUUCGGUACGUAAAGCUCUAUCAGCAGGAAAGAAAAUGACGGUACCUGACUAAGAAGCCCCGGCUAACUACGUGCCAGCAGCCGCGGUAAUACGUAGGGGGCAAGCGUUAUCCGGAUUUACUGGGUGUAAAGGGAGCGUAGACGGCAGCGCAAGUCUGGAGUGAAAUGCCGGGGCGCAACCCCGGAACUGCUCGGGAAACUGGGACGCUGGAGUGCAGGGAAGGUAAGCGGAAUGCCUGGUGUAGCGGUGAAAUGCGUAGAUAUGAGGAGGAACCCCGACGGCGAAGGCGGCUUACUGGACUGUAACUGACGUUGAGGCUCGAAGGCGUGGGGAGCAAACAGGAUUAGAUACCCCUGUAGUC